ensembl:lncRNA
CUGGAGCCCCUAGGCAGGUGGCUGGCUUCCCGGAUGUCCUGGGAGUGCAGCCCCGCUCACAUGCCUCAUCAGAAAUGCACGAACUCAAGGGUGAGCGAGAGGCAGCCUGGAAGGCUCUGGCAAUGAUUUAACUCAAUUAAAGUCUGUGGGAGGGCUCAGCUUCACAUCAUGAGGCAAACACAGGAUGAGUAACUGAUAUAAGACCGAACAGCACUUUCCUUGUGCCUUUUGUCUUUAGAGUGGCGGGAGGUGGAUGAUAUUCCUGCAUCGACAUGGUAAUGCUGGAGCUGGGAAGACUGUGGCCAUUUGACACCCACUUUGCUAUUUAUUUUGCCUCCUCCUUUACACUGCUGUGCAGGAUGAUGCUCCCAUCUCUUUAUAGAUCUUCAAGCUAUCUGGGGAGAGGUGGGGAUUCACCUUCAAAAAAAAAAAUAAAAAAGAUUGUUCCUGUUCUGGUGAAGGACUUGAGUGCCGAUGCAGCUCUAAGCAUGGGAGGAAGUUACGUGUGUUUCAUGAGAUGGCUCACC